rnacentral:lncRNA from 1 species
UUGCAGUAGAGGGGGUAAAGCCCACAGAUCAAGGAACUAAAAUAUGUAUGCUGUUGGUGGCACAUCAAUUCUAAUUUACUGAAUCAGAAAAGUAGCAUUAGUUUGAAAGUUCAAUUGAGAUAGACUCAACUACCAUAAAUCUUGCAGAUCACUUCAUUUCAUUCAACAAUGACAACUUGCAAUAUUUGACAAAUAUUUUCCAUAUGUUGUGUUUUAAGCUUCA